rnacentral:rRNA from 1 species
GGGGAAUUCUGGACAAUGGGCGCAAGCCUGAUCCAGCAAUGCCGCGUGAGUGAAGAAGGCCUUCGGGUUGUAAAGCUCUUUUGUCAGGGAAGAAACGGUGCGGACUAAUAUUCUGCGCUAAUGACGGUACCUGAAGAAUAAGCACCGGCUAACUACGUGCCAGCAGCCGCGGUAAUACGUAGGGUGCAAGCGUUAAUCGGAAUUACUGGGCGUAAAGUGUGCGCAGGCGGCCUCGCAAGUCGAGUGUGAAAUCCCCGGGCUUAACUUGGGAAUUGCGCUCGAAACUACGGGGCUGGAGUGUGGCAGAGGGGGGUGGAAUUCCACGUGUAGCGGUGAAAUGCGUAGAGAUGUGGAGGAACACCAAUGGCGAAGGCAGCCCCCUGGGCCAACACUGACGCUCAUGCACGAAAGCGUGGGGAGCAAA